UACGUAGGGGCAAGCGUUGUCCGGAGUUACUGGGCGUAAAGCGCACGCAGGCGGUCGGCUGCGUAGGUGGUGACAGUCCUCGGCUUACCUGAGGAAGCGCUGCCUAAACGGGUCGACUUGAGGGCCAGAGAGGGACACGGAACUCCGGGUGGAGCGGUGAAAUGCGUAGAGAUCCGGAAGAACACCAAAGGCGAAGGCAGUGUCCUGGCUGGCUCCUGACGCUCAGGUGCGAAAGCUAGGGGAGCAAACAGG
rnacentral:rRNA from 1 species